UCGGGAAUAUUGCGCAAUGGAGGAAACUCUGACGCAGUGACGCCGCGUGCAGGAAGAAGGUUUUCGGAUUGUAAACUGCUUUAGACAGGGAAGAAGAAGUGACAGUACCUGUAGAAUAAGCUCCGGCUAACUACGUGCCAGCAGCCGCGGUAAUACGUAGGGAGCGAGCGUUAUCCGGAUUUAUUGGGUGUAAAGGGUGCGUAGACGGGAAAUCAAGUUAGUUGUGAAAUCCCUCGGCUUAACUGAGGAACUGCAACUAAAACUGGUUUUCUUGAGUACUGGAGAGGAAAGUGGAAUUCCUAGUGUAGCGGUGAAAUGCGUAGAUAUUAGGAGGAACACCAGUGGCGAAGGCGACUUUCUGGACAGAAACUGACGUUGAGGCACGAAAGUGUGGGGAGCAAACA
rnacentral:rRNA from 1 species